GUAGGUGAACCUGCGGAAGGAUCAUUACCGGAGUUAGGGCACUCAGUGCCCCCCCUCCCAACCUUUGUUUACCAAUCUUCUGUUGCUUUGGCGUGGCUGCACGCCAGAGAACCUACUCUAUUCUGUUUUGUAACUGCUGUCUGAGUAAUAUUGAAUUAAUGAAAACUUUCAACAACGGAUCUCUUGGUUCCCGCAUCGAUGAAGAACGCAGCAUCUGACUGACUCGACAGCUGACAAUCUCGUAUGCCGU
rnacentral:misc_RNA from 1 species